UCCAGACUCCUACGGGAGGCAGCAGUGGGGGAUAUUGCACAAUGGGGGGAACCCUGAUGCAGCGAUGCCGCGUGGGUGAAGGAGUGCUUCGGCAUGUAAAGCCCUAUCGGCAGGGAAGAAGCAAGACGGUACCUGACUAAGAAGCCCCGGCUAACUACGUGCCAGCAGCCGCGGUAAUACGUAGGGGGCGAGCGUUAUCCGGAUUCACUGGGUGUAAAGGGAGCGUAGACGGCCAAGCAAGCCAGGGGUGAAAGCCCGGGGCCCAACCCCGGGACUGCCCUUGGAACUGCACGGCUGGAGUGCGGGAGGGGCAGGCGGAAUUCCUAGUGUAGCGGUGAAAUGCGUAGAUAUUAGGAGGAACACCGGUGGCGAAGGCGGCCUGCUGGACUGCGACUGACGUUGAGGCCCGAAAGCGUGGGGAGCAAACAGGAUUAGAUACCCGUGUAAA
rnacentral:rRNA from 1 species